UACGAAGGGGGCUAGCGUUGCUCGGAAUUACUGGGCGUAAAGGGAGCGUAGGCGGGUCGUCAAGUUGGGGGUGAAGGCCCAGGGCUCAACCUUGGAAUUGCCUUCAAAACUGACGAUCUAGAGUAUGGAAGAGGUAAGUGGAACUCCGAGUGUAGAGGUGAAAUUCGUAGAUAUUCGGAAGAACACCAGUGGCGAAGGCGACUUACUGGUCCAUGACUGACGCUGAGGCUCGAAAGCGUGGGGAGCAAACAGG
rnacentral:rRNA from 1 species